rnacentral:tRNA from 1 species
GGAGGAGUCGCAUAGCUGGCUUAGUGCGCGCGACUGGAAAUCGCGUGUCCCGCUAAAACGGGAUCGAGGGUUCGAAUCCCUCCUCCUCCGCCA